rnacentral:rRNA from 1 species
CGUACCUAAAGUUUGACAUCCCGAAGCUAAGCGAGCUACUCUAAAACAGCUUAUAGAGCCAACCCAUCCCUGUUGCAAUAGGGUGGGAAGAUUGUAGAGUAGAGGUGACACGCCUACCGAGCCUAGAGAUAGCUGGUUAUUCAAAAGACGGAUUUAAGUCCAACCUUAAGUUUUCUUAGUCUACCAAACAACCCUUAAACUUAAGAGCCAUUCAAAUAAGGUACAGCCUAUUUGAACAAGGACACAACCUACAAUACAGGGUAAUAUCAAACAAUGUGAUAAAGUAGGCCUAAAAGCAGCCACCUUUCAAAAAGCGUCCAAGCUUCCCCAUCAACCAUCCUUAAUUUUAUUACCAACCAACAACCCCCCCUCCCCCACUGAAUGACCCCAUAC